rnacentral:rRNA from 1 species
GGGGAAUAUUGCGCAAUGGGGGCAACCCUGACGCAGCCAUGCCGCGUGAAUGAAGAAGGCCUUCGGGUUGUAAAGUUCUUUCGGUAGCGAGGAAGGCACUUAGUUUAAUAAACUAAGUGAUUGACGUUAACUACAGAAGAAGCACCGGCUAACUCCGUGCCAGCAGCCGCGGUAAUACGGAGGGUGCGAGCGUUAAUCGGAAUAACUGGGCGUAAAGGGCACGCAGGCGGUGACUUAAGUGAGGUGUGAAAGCCCCGGGCUUAACCUGGGAAUUGCAUUUCAUACUGGGUCGCUAGAGUACUUUAGGGAGGGGUAGAAUUCCACGUGUAGCGGUGAAAUGCGUAGAGAUGUGGAGGAAUACCGAAGGCGAAGGCAGCCCCUUGGGAAUGUACUGACGCUCAUGUGCGAAAGCGUGGGGAGCAAACAGGAAUAGAUACCCUGGUAGUCCACGCUGUAAACGAUGUCGAUUUGGGGGUUGAGCUUUAAGUUUGGCGCCCGUAGCUAACGUGAUAAAUCGACCGCCUGGGGAGUACGGCCGCAAGGUUA